rnacentral:rRNA from 1 species
UUUGCAUAUCAAAAAAGCGGAGGAAAAGAAACCAACCGGGAUUGCCUCAGUAACGGCGAGUGAAGCGGCAAGAGCUCAAAUUUGAAAGCUGGCUCCUUCGGAGUCCGCAUUGUAAUUUGCAGAGGAUGCUUUGGGUGCGGCCCCCGUCUAAGUGCCCUGGAACGGGCCGUCAGAGAGGGUGAGAAUCCCGUCUUGGGCGGGGUGUCCGUGCCCGUGUAAAGCUCCUUCGACGAGUCGAGUUGUUUGGGAAUGCAGCUCUAAAUGGGUGGUAAAUUUCAUCUAAAGCUAAAUACUGGCCGGAGACCGAUAGCGCACAAGUAGAGUGAUCGAAAGAUGAAAAGCACUUUGAAAAGAGAGUUAAACAGCACGUGAAAUUGUUGAAAGGGAAGCGCUUGCGACCAGACUCGCCCGCGGGGUUCAGCCGGCAUUCGUGCCGGUGUACUUCCCCGUGGGCGGGCCAGCGUCGGUUUGGGCGGCCGGUCAAAGGCCCCUGGAAUGUAGUGCCCUCCGGGGCACCUUAUAGCCAGGGGUGCAAUGCGGCCAGCCUGGACCGAGGAACGCGCUUCGGCACGGACGCUGGCAUAAUGGUCGUAAACGACCCGUCUUGAACCACGGAC